rnacentral:rRNA from 1 species
ACUCCUACGGGAGGCAGCAGUGGGGAAUAUUGCACAAUGGGCGAAAGCCUGAUGCAGCGACGCCGCGUGAGGGAUGAAGGCCUUCGGGUCGUAAACCUCUUUCAGCAGGGAAGAAGCGCAAGUGACGGUACCUGCAGAAGAAGCACCGGCUAACUACGUGCCAGCAGCCGCGGUAAUACGUAGGGUGCGAGCGUUGUCCGGAAUUAUUGGGCGUAAAGAGCUCGUAGGCGGCUUGUCACGUCGGAUGUGAAAGCCCGGGGCUUAACCCCGGGUCUGCAUUCGAUACGGGCAGGCUAGAGUGUGGUAGGGGAGAUCGGAAUUCCUGGUGUAGCGGUGAAAUGCGCAGAUAUCAGGAGGAACACCGGUGGCGAAGGCGGAUCUCUGGGCCAUUACUGACGCUGAGGAGCGAAAGCGUGGGGAGCGAACAGGAUUAGAUACCCUGGUAGUCCACGCCGUAAACGGUGGGAACUAGGUGUUGGCGACAUUCCACGUCGUCGGUGCCGCAGCUAACGCAUUAAGUUCCCCGCCUGGGGAGUACGGCCGCAAGGCUAAAACUCAAAGGAAUUGACGGGGGCCCGCACAAGCAGCGGAGCAUGUGGCUUAAUUCGACGCAACGCGAAGAACCUUACCAAGGCUUGACAUAUGCCGGAAACGGCCAGAGAUGGUCGCCCCUUGUGGUCGUAUACAGGUGGUGCAUGGUUGUCGUCAGCUCGUGUCGUGAGAUGUUGGGUUAAGUCCCGCAACGAGCGCAACCCUUGUUCUGUGUUGCCAGCUGGUGAUGGGGACUCACAGGAGACUGCCGGGGUUAACUCGGA